CCUACGGGAGGCAGCAGUGAGGAAUAUUUGUCAAUGGGCGGAAGCCUGAACCAGCCAAGUAGCGUGCAGGAUGACGGCCCUACGGGUUGUAAACUGCUUUUAUACGGGAAUAACGCGCCUUAAGUGUAGGGCUUUGCAUGUACCGUAUGAACAAGGACCGGCUAAUUCCGUGCCAGCAGCCGCGGUAAUACGGAGGGUCCGGGCGUUAUCCGGAUGUAUUGGGUGUAAAGGGAGCGUAGGCCGCAUGUCAAGCGUGCUGUGAAAGGUCCGGGCUCAACCCGGGCCGUGCAGCGCGAACUGGCGUGCUUGAGUCCGCGGAAAGCAGGCGGAAUUCGGGGUGUAGCGGUGAAAUGCUUAGAUAUGGCGAAGAACCCCGAUUGCGAAGGCAGCUUGCUGCAGCGGAACUGACGCUGAUGCUCGAAAGCGCGGGUAUCGAACAGGAUUAGAUACCCCAGUAGUC
rnacentral:rRNA from 1 species